AGGACAUGUUGGUUCCAAUGGAUUAGGGCAGCUCAUCACAUUUAUAAACUGCCAACAUGUAGCGACACUUUCCUCUUUAGGAUGAGUUUCAUCAAACUGAAGUGCUGGUUUCUGGUUUAUAAUUCAAUCCAUCUCACUGACUCACAGAGGGUGGAGUAAAAUGACAAAGUCUUUUGGUCCUUCGCUCAGAGUUUUUCAUAUUACCAGGUGAUUAUGCAUUUAUCUCCUUACCACAUGAGGUGCUAUAUAAAACCAUGGUCAAUAAUUACCAGCCUGCAACUGACUUUUAUGUGUCCUAGAACUGCCCUCACAUAAACAUGUCAGAUCAGAAGAAACAAAUAAAACAUAAGACUGUCGUUAAACUGAGGAAGUUUGGAGGGACAGAGAAGAAGAAAAUAUCACGGUCAUGUUGGCUAGAAUCCUGCCCAGAAGGAGACUGCAGCAACUCUCCACCCCCAGGUACAUUACAUACCAGCUACGGUUACUGCCUGUCAUAAAGGGAUGCAAAACACUGAGCAGAGACAGCAAAACAAAGCUCACAUUGUACGCACAAGGACAUAGAAAUAUAAAUAUAGAAAAUCAAAUGCUGUCACUGUUGAAAGAAGAUAUUAACUCAUGGGUGCUGACACUCCGUAGCGGCUGAACACGAAGACGGCACUCCACUGGGGUGACCUUUGACUCUUGGCAGAGAGCGGUUUCACUGAGGGAAUUCACUCCGGUGGAUGAGUCUCUAGUGUUUGUCAAGAUCUCUGUGGAAACAAACACUCAGAGGGUCUUUGUGGAACAGUCCAGAAAUAAUUGAGUAAGCCAAGAGACCCCUAUCUCCCCUCUGCAAAAAAUGUCAGGUUAAACUUUCUUUUGAGGACUCCCUAAUUGAUGCUCUUGUAUAAAUAAUUGCUAUUUCCCAGCACUUUCUCUUUUCCCUUUUACUGAGAAAAAUACAAAAGAAAAGUCAACCGAAUCAAGACAGAAAUUCAUUUUUACAGCUGAACAAGCUUCAUCUUUGGUUGUUUUAAAAAUGAAAUAAUGGGAAAAUAUUUGUUAGAGAAUAAUAAACACACCCAGGUAUUUGCUGCUCUUCUUAGG
rnacentral:lncRNA from 1 species